rnacentral:sRNA from 13 species
UUUCAAAGCGAGUUAUGCGCCUUUAAAGUUGGAGGUGAGAGACGCCAGAGAAGCAGACAGUCGUUUUCUCUGCCGUCUCUCACUCUCUCACCCUCCAACUUUAAAGGCGCAUCACUCGCUUCAAAA